AGAGUUUGAUCCUGGCUCAGGAUGAACGCUAGCGACAGGCUUAACACAUGCAAGUCGAGGGGCAGCACGGGAGUAGCAAUACAACUGGUGGCGACCGGCGCACGGGUGAGUAACGCGUAUGCAACCUACCUAUCAGAGGGGAAUAACCCGGCGAAAGUCGGACUAAUACCGCAUAAAACAGGGGCACCGCAUGGUGAUAUUUGUUAAAGAAAUUCGCUGAUAGAUGGGCAUGCGUUCCAUUAGGUAGUUGGUGAGGUAACGGCUCACCAAGCCGACGAUGGAUAGGGGAACUGAGAGGUUGGUCCCCCACACUGGUACUGAGACACGGACCAGACUCCUACGGGAGGCAGCAGUGAGGAAUAUUGGUCAAUGGGCGAGAGCCUGAACCAGCCAAGUCGCGUGAAGGAAGAAGGAUCUAUGGUUCGUAAACUUCUUUUGCAGGGGAAUAAAGUGCGGGACGUGUCCUGUUUUGUAUGUACCCUGAGAAUAAGGAUCGGCUAACUCCGUGCCAGCAGCCGCGGUAAUACGGAGGAUCCGAGCGUUAUCCGGAUUUAUUGGGUUUAAAGGGUGCGUAGGUGGUUUGAUAAGUCAGCGGUGAAAGUUUGCAGCUUAACUGUAAAAAUGCCGUUGAAACUGUCGGACUUGAGUGUAAAUGAGGUAGGCGGAAUGCGUGGUGUAGCGGUGAAAUGCAUAGAUAUCACGCAGAACUCCGAUUGCGAAGGCAGCUUACUAAGCUACAACUGACACUGAAGCACGAAAGCGUGGGGAUCAAACAGGAUUAGAUACCCUGGUAGUCCACGCAGUAUACGAUGAUUACUAGCUGUUUGCGAUACACAGUAAGCGGCACAGCGAAAGCGUUAAGUAAUCCACCUGGGGAGUACGCCGGCAACGGUGAAACUCACAGGAAUUGACGG
rnacentral:rRNA from 1 species